UCGUGACUUGUAUUGUGAGUUGAACAGGAAAGUGAGAACAAAGGCGUUGUUGUAGCCAUUUUGGCCAUGCUACAACGAUGCAGACAGCUCUCUUUGUCACUCCUACAACGUGCUUGUUCAAACAACACAUUUUCUUUCAGGUUUUGUGCUUUAGGCAGAGUGACAUGAUGCAGGAUGGAGUUGCGAAGAGUUCCAGGACAUGGUCAAAGAUGGCUGGAACAGUCGGAUGGAUUUGCAAUCAUGCAAUAAAGGCCCACAUGAGACGCCAUGGUCAAAUGGUUGGAGAUCGUUGAGAGUUUGCAGCUAUUGAUGAAAGUUGUUGUAAUAAUAGCAAGUAUCACCACAGAAGGGCCGGUGCAACAUGGCGACGGAAAAAGUGGGUAUUAAGAAUAUUAGGAGUAGGUGACCGCCAGAAACAUCCUGUCUUGUGGCUGGUGUGGUUAAACAAGUGCGUCCGGGAACCACCGUCAUCAGUGACCAAUGGGGCACUUACAGGAGUGCAUUGACUGCGACAGGCUACAGGCACUUCACAGUGAACCACUGUCAGUAGUUUGCGGAUCCAAACACCUUGCGCGCCUCCCAGUAUGUCAACCCCAGCUUUCUCUGUGGACCAUGCA